UCAACUAUUGCACAAUAUUUAU
rnacentral:snRNA from 1 species